UGGCUCAAUCGGUAGAGCGUCUGACUAGCAGUCGGACACUCGCUGGUUCGAGUCCGGU
rnacentral:tRNA from 1 species